rnacentral:lncRNA from 1 species
UGUGACAUCCCAGGUUUGGGGCACAACACCUUAGGCGAAUCCCACAUCGGCUACGCACAAGGUGGAAGUCCUAUACAUAAAGGGUGGCAACCUUGAACUAGUGUGACGCGUUUUGGGCUGGCAGAGCGGAGGUUUCCCUGGCCCAGAAACAAAACUGUGAGGGUUCAGGCCAGGUUUGGCACCCAAAGCGGACAAUAUCACACUAGGGCUGGGCUGUUACAAUUUGGUAUCAGAGCCAAGCCUUGUCCCUCUGGCCUGUGGUGGGGCAAACCUCAGCGAGGACGCUGAGUCCCUAAGGGGUGGUGUAUGUGACAUCCCAGGUUUGGGGCACAACACCUUAGGCGAAUCCCACAUCGGCUACGCACAAGGUGGAAGUCCUAUACAUAAAGGGUGGCAACCUUGAACAUGGUAGACGCGUUUUGGGCUGGGUGGUGUAUGUGACAUCCCAGGUUUGGGGCACAACACCUUAGGCGAAUCCCACAUCGGCUACGCACAAGGUGGAAGUCCUAUACAUAAAGGGUGGCAACCUUGAACUAGUGUGACGCG